rnacentral:rRNA from 1 species
UAUUGCACAAUGGGGGAAACCCUGAUGCAGCAACGCCGCGUGAGGGAAGAAGGUUUUCGGAUUGUAAACCUCUGUUCUUAGUGACGAUAAUGACGGUAGCUAAGGAGAAAGCUCCGGCUAACUACGUGCCAGCAGCCGCGGUAAUACGUAGGGAGCGAGCGUUGUCCGGAUUUACUGGGUGUAAAGGGUGCGUAGGCGGCGAGGCAAGUCAGGCGUGAAAUCUAUGGGCUUAACCCAUAAACUGCGCUUGAAACUGUCUUGCUUGAGUGAAGUAGAGGUAGGCGGAAUUCCCGGUGUAGCGGUGAAAUGCGUAGAGAUCGGGAGGAACACCAGUGGCGAAGGCGGCCUACUGGGCUUUAACUGACGCUGAAUCACAAAAGCAUGGGUAGCAAACAGG